CAUGUUUCUCAAUUCUCUCCCAGCUACUACAACCUACCCUUCACGCUUUCCUCAAGGUAUGAAUCUGCUUCAGGACCUCCUAUUUAUGUGCCAUUGGUUAAUUAGAGUUCUUAUGUUGUUUUAGAUGGCUGGUUCUGCUUUCCUGUUUACGAAUUAUGCGUCGUCGAUAGGGCGUCCGUAAGGGCGCCUCUGACCACCUACUGUGUGCUUCGCUACAUUUUCAGCCCACCGUGUGCCAGCCCACGCAUGCUUGUUUAAAACGCGCGGCGGGUGUGCGCGUUAGUCGUUGGUUUCUUGUGCGCUGUGCUGCCGCGCUUGCAUAUGCUCAGACUUGCAGGCAAUCUGUCGUGUGCGCGGCUGGGCUGGACCUUCAAAUGCAGAUGCACAGCAGACGGAGUGUACAGGUAAGUGUAUAUGCUGUGGGCAGGUGGUGACUACUGACAUCGUGCACAGGGUUUCGUCGAGUCGGAACGGACCUGCCGGGUUUCGUUUCUUCCAAGCUUGGGCAUCUCAAGCAUGCAUGGAUGCUGAGCUGUCUGACGCUUUAAAAUCGCCUGCGGGUAGGAGAUGAUGGGAAUGGGAGCAGCAAAGCAAAGAACGAUCAGGCGGCGGGCCAUUGCUUAAACUUGGUUGCUUCGGACGAUAUGAUGCGCGACGAGUCUACAUGCAAGAUCGGUUGGCACUGUGGCUCAAAUUAAAGGCUGGUUUAAAGCAUGCAUCAUUGGUGUUAGAUACAGAAAGGAAAAGAAAAAACUGGCACGGCAGGCGCGAUACAUAUACACUGCGCCCGUCUCUUCGGUGGACACUGAAGAGGAGCUGGUGAAUGGACGGGAAAAAAAGAAUUCUAUGCAUACGGAAUGCAAAUCUAUUGGACAGAAAAAGAUUCUAUACAUACCAAAUACAAACAUAUUAUGAGUUACAUUGCAGGCCCACACGAACAAAAAUUACAUCUCUUUAGACUUUUUGUAGCUUCUGUCCGUAAGGGUCUGUAGGUUAUAAAUGUGAGAGGCUGCAACAGAACGAGUUUGCAUCCGGUAUGCUGUCGAUCAGAGCCCGACCAAACACUCAGGAGUCGAGAGGCACGCUACACCACACCCGUGUUCGGAACCGCGCGAUAACCAUCUUGUCGAACUAUGGAAAUGUUGCUAAGCAACAACGAUCUCUAAUACCAUGCAGAGAUACAAAUGCAAUUACAUGAUAUGAUUAUACUUUCAUGAACAAAUUGUAUGAUUGGAAGAGUAUAUAGACUUGGUAAAGAACCCAUAAUGGAACCCCAUAGAGAAAAACUUCUAGAAGAUUAGACAUGGAAAGAACCUUGACUGGAUAAUAGAUAAACUUGUAAACAUAGAGUUGGACUCAUACACGACUUGGUAACCAACUUGGUACCUGUCAUAAACUUUAUAACGAGUCGUUGUUUUCCAUGUAAACGGCCCCUCAGGAUACAAAAGGUUAUACCGACUGCAAAUAAGUCGUUGUAGCCAGGUUGUGGUAUAGUGAGGAAGGACAACCCCCUAGAUCAAGAUUAAAUAGAUUCACUACAUACAAGAUAUAGGCUAUUAUCUCGCAUUAAUAGAUCGAACCUGUUUAAACCCUUGUGUCUCUCAUGCUCUAACCUUCAACUUUUGUUUUUGUGAAAUACCUCGUUAAAUCACCGUCGAACAAUCGUGGAUGAUUGGUGCAUCGGGGAGGAGAAGUCACAAAGAUCAACCAACAUUUGAAGACAUCUAUGAAGUUUGCAUUGGGAGACAAAUUCACGUUCGGCACCUUGCGGUUCGUCCUCAAUCUGACACUAUCUUCUAGGAUACUCUAUGCAAACAAAAAAAA
rnacentral:lncRNA from 1 species